rnacentral:rRNA from 1 species
UACGUAGGGUGCAAGCGUUGUCCGGAAUUAUUGGGCGUAAAGAGCUCGUAGGCGGUCUGUCGCGUCUGCUGUGAAAACUCAGGGCUUAACCCUGAGCUUGCAGUGGGUACGGGCAGACUAGAGUGCGGUAGGGGAGACUGGAAUUUAUGGUGUAGCAGUGAAAUGCGUAGAUAUCAGGAGGAACACCGGUGGCGAAGGCGGGUCUCUGGGC